rnacentral:rRNA from 1 species
GCAGUUAAAAAGCUCGUAGUUGGAUCUCGGUGAUACUGAAGCCAACCGCUGCUUAGUUGGUUGAGUCUGGCUGCACCUAGCGUGUACGUCGGAUUUGCCGGCUGUGUUAGUGGUGUGGAAGCGGUGUUACCUUUCAGCCAUGUCUGUGGUGCAAUACCCACAGGUGUAAGCAAGUGUCAGGCGGUGCUGUGCUUUCGGUAUGGUCCGUCGGCUCGUUUGCAUGCCUGCGGAUGCCCUUCAAAAGGUGUCUGUUGGCGGAUGGCACGUUUACUUUGAACAAAUUUGAGUGCUCAAACCAGGCCAAUGUUGCCUGAAAAGUUUUGCAUGGAAUAAUGGAAUAGGACUUCGGUUCUAUUUUGUUGGUUUUCGGAUCCGAAGUAAUGAUCAAAAGAGACAGGCGGGGACGUUUGUAUGGUUGCGCUAGAGGUGAAAUUCAUGGACCGUAGCCAGACAAACUAAAGCGAAAGCAUUCGUCAAGCAUGUUUUCAUUGACCAUGAGCGAAAGUCAGAGGCUCGAAGACGAUCAGAUACCGUCCUAGUUCUGACCAUAAACGAUGCCAACUGACGAUCCGUGGUGGUAGUAAAUUAACCUUCCCCACGGGCAGUCACCGGGAAACCUUUAAGUCUUUGGGUUCCGGGGGAAGUAUGGUUGCAAAGCUGAAACUUAAAGGAAUUGACGGAAGGGCACCACCAGGAGUGGAGCCUGCGGCUUAAUUUGACUCAACACGGGAAAACUCACCCGGGCCGGACACUGUAAGGAUUGACAGAUUGAUAGCUCUUUCUUGAUUCGGUGGUUGGUGGUGCAUGGCCGUUCUUAGUUGGUGGAGCGAUUUGUCUGGUUAAUUCCGAUAACGAACGAGACUCUAGCCUGCUAAUUAGUGCACUUGUCCACUGUUCCUGUGUAAGUGGCGUUUCGGCGAUGUUGCCCAUGUUAUCUGCUGCAGUUGUCCACCUGUGUCCUCGGAUGCGGGUGGCGGCUGUAGUGGUUUGGGCGGCGGGUUCGGCGUUUGCUUCCGGGUACGG